AAAAAAUUACAUCCGUAUCCUAUCCACAAAGGAAACAUUUGAGCCCAAGAACAACUCCUUUUCCUAGUUAAAAUUCACCUCAUUCACACCUGAGGAUGUCAGUGUUAGAAUUAUCAAAGACCCGUGUUGUAGCGCCAUCUGUCAUCCAGAAAUGGAAACAGGGGAGGAGGAUAAAAUUAAGUUGCAGAGACCCAGGCUCCCAGCAGCUGCUUAAGAUGGUAAUAAUUAUUGUGAGGAGAGGAAUCAAGAAUCCAAGGAAUCACUGAUCAGAAAUUGGAGGCACAUUAGGUUAAGGAACUUGCCCCAAACCACAGAGGAAAUGGCAAGAUUGGGAAAUCAGCCCAGGCUUCCAUACUUCACAUAUCUUAUUCCUCAGUAUGAAAACAAACUGCCAACAGAAUGUAAGUAGCAAAAAAAAAAAAAAAAAGUGGAAUUUUAAACUUUUUUUUUCCUGCCUGUCUUACGCUAGGACUCUUAGUUUCUUUCAUUCUUCUAUCCUUCUGCAGCACAUUAUUAUUUGAACACUACACUAAAAAAUGCCAUGACAUCUUACCUUUGACCUGGUGACAAUACAACUCUCAAAAUAACUUAUGUGUGGGAGAUGGCCUCGAGCUGUGAGCCAUAAAAGCAAGGUGCAGCCUCCAAAAUCAAAGAACCUAUCAUAUGGUCUUAUUGAAAUGCCAAGAUUUUUAAAGUAAAAUAUGAGAUGCGAGUCCCCCCUCACCCAUCAAAAAAUGCAAAGUAGUGGUAGGACAUUUCAAUCAAAUUUGUUGCAAUAGGGAAGAGGGUCCAGUGUGAACUCAGCUUCUCUUUGUGCAGAGAUGUCUAGGUAUUUAAAAAUAUUUAAAUAGAGAAUGCGGGUAAAGGUAGGGAGGUGAGUAGGGGCUCAGUAGUGUUAGGGACAGGGAAAAAAAAAAGGAAAAGGGUUAGUUCCUAUAAACACGAUUAGGCCAACUGUGUCUGCUGGCUGACAAUUAGUGAAAUUGAGGUGUUAUCCUCCCAGAGAGACUUGGAGACUGAGGCCCUAUCUUUCCUAAUUUCAUUUCAAAGGAAUGGUUUUCAGGUCCUUGGGAGACUCCUCUGAGUUGAAAGAUGUAUAUCUCAAAGGGAUAUAGAAAGGAUUCAAAAUUAUAAGCCCUUUUUAGUAAAUAUAUUAAGAUAAGGAGAUCAGGUGUUGGCUAGAACAAACAGUAAAUUUGUUGGCAGCCUUGAGUCAACCUAAGGAUUGAAUUGUUAGAAACUAUGGUAGUAUCAAUUUAAGUCUUUUAAUAUAAGGAGAGGGGAAUGAUCAAAAUAAUUUGUACUGAAAUUCUGAGUUUUCAUAGGCAAAGGUUGAGCCCUAGUUGAGAAGGUUCAGAGGAAUCUGUCUUGAUUUUGGUCAAAGGGAGAACUUUGGUCAUUAUCAAAGAUAAAAUUGCAUUCCAAAAUUCAUCUGGAAUCUCAACAAGGCCUAAAUAGUCAAAAUAAUCUCAAAAAAAAGGAUAAAGUAAAAAGUCUCAUACUUCCUGAUUUCAAAAUUUAUUCCCAAUAUUUUAUACUUAAGUGUGUUUGGUACCAGCAUAAAGACAGCCAUGUGGUCAAAUAGAAUAGAAUAGAGAGCUCAGAAACAAACCCUUGAAAAUAUGGUCAAAUGAUUUUUGACAAGGAUGCCAAGAUAAUUCAAUGAGGGAAAAACAGCCUUUUCAAAAACAUUUGGAAAAGACUGGUUAUCCACAUGCAAAAGCAUAAAGUUCAACCCUGAUCUUUUGCCAUAUACAAAAAAAAUUCCAAGUGUAUUAAAUACCUAAAUGUAAGGCCUAAAAUGAUAAAGUCCUUGGAGAAAAUAUGAGAGCUUAAUAACACUUGAUUUGGCAGUAAUUUUUGACUCUGAUACCAAAAGCAGAGGCAGCAAAAGUAAAAAUAGAUAAAUUUGAGCACAUCAAAAUUAAAAAUUCUGUGCAUAAAGGGGCACAAUCAAUAGACUGAAAAAGCAACCAAUAGGAUGGGGUCAAAUAUGUGCAAAUCAUAUCUGAUAAGGAAUUAAUCCAGAAUAUAAAGAACUCCUUCAAUUCAACAACAACAACAAAAACAACCUGAUUAAGAAAUGUGCAAAAGACUUGAGUGAACAUUUAUCCAAAGGAAAUAGGCAAGAGGCCAACAAAUAUAUGAAAAGAUGUUCAACAUCAGUAAUAGUUAGGAAAACACAAACCAAAACCACAGUGAGAUACCACCUCAUACCAAUUAGAAUGCCUAGUAUAAAACAAACAAACAGAAAAUAAUAAGUUCUGGUGAGGAUGUGCAGAAAUUAGAAUCCAUGUGCACUAUUAUUGGGGGCAUAAAAUGAUACAGCUGCUUUGGAAAAAAAGUAGGCUUUUCCUCAAAAAUUAAUUAUAGAAUUAUCACAUAAUCUCACAAUUCUAUUUCUGGGUAUUCCCUAAAAGAAGUGAAAGUAGGGUCUUGAAGAGAUAUCUGUGCAACCAUGUUCAUAGCAAUAUUAGUCACAGUAAACAAAUGGUGGGAGCAACAACUGUCCAUCAACAAAUGAACAGAUAAGCCAAAAGUAGUUUGUACAUUCUUGGGAACAUUACCCAGCCUUCAAAGGUGGCUGCAAAGUGGAUAAACCUUGAGGACACUAUGCUAAGUGGAAUAAACUGGUCGCAAAAUUUAAAUACUGUAUGAAU
rnacentral:lncRNA from 1 species